UCAACCUUCCUUUGAGAGUCCAAGCUUCCUUAUCUUGGUUAUUUUGUGGGCCCAGUGCAAACCAAAUCUUGUGAUAUGUUUUGAAGGAGGCCUAGUACAGGGCCAUAAGAAGAUUCAGGCUUAGAUGGAAUGUACUAGACAUGGCGGCACUCCUGGAGUGGUGAGUGGGAAGAGAAACAGAAGCAUCCAAGCAGAGACAGAGCAAGGACUCAAUAGGUAGGGAUGAAGUAAAGCUGGUACAAAGGACAAGAGAGGUGGCAGAAAACCUGAGUGCCACCUGUAUCUACUAAGAUGACCUCAAGAUUGUGCAACAGCACCUGGAAGAAUUCCUGAUGGGCUGAGUCUGAGUUACCAUGUGAAGCAGCUAUAACAUCAUGUAUACUUGGCAAGGGUGACUGAAGCAUUUCUAUUGUUUGAUCAAUUAAAAAUACCUGGAUACCUA